rnacentral:rRNA from 1 species
CCUACGGGAGGCAGCAGUGGGGAAUAUUGCACAAUGGGGGAAACCCUGAUGCAGCGACGCCGCGUGAAGGAAGAAGUAUUUCGGUAUGUAAACUUCUAUCAGCAGGGAAGAAAAUGACGGUACCUGACUAAGAAGCCCCGGCUAACUACGUGCCAGCAGCCGCGGUAAUACGUAGGGGGCAAGCGUUAUCCGGAUUUACUGGGUGUAAAGGGAGCGUAGGCGGUUUAGCAAGUCAGAAGUGAAAGCCCGGGGCUCAAAUCCGGGACUGCUUUUGAAACUGUUGAACGGGAUUGCAGGAGAGGUAAGUGGAAUCCCGAGGGGAGCGGAGAAAUGCGGAGAUAUGAGGAGGAACACCAGUGGAGAGGGCGACUUACUGGACUGUAAAUGACGCUGAGGAGCGAAAGCGUGGGGAGAAAACAGGAGGAGAGACCCCUGUAGUC